rnacentral:rRNA from 1 species
CUCCUAGGGGGGCAGCAGUGGGGAAUAUUGGGCAAUGGGCGCAAGCCUGACCCAGCAACGCCGCGUGAAGGAAGAAGGCUUUCGGGUUGUAAACCUCUUUUGCCGGGGAGCAAGGGCGGGGACGUGUCCCGGCCCGGAGAGUACCCGGAGAAAAAGCAUCGGCUAACUCCGUGCCAGCAGCCGCGGUAAUACGGAGGAUGCGAGCGUUAUCCGGAUUUAUUGGGUUUAAAGGGUGCGUAGGCGGGCUUUUAAGUCAGCGGUAAAAAUUCGGGGCUUAACCCCGUCCGGUCGUUGAAACUGGGGGG